GGAGAAGCAGGGGAUCGCAAGACCUUGCGCUUUUGGAGCGGCCGAUGCCUGAUUAGCUUGUUGGUGAGGUAAAAGCUCACCAAGGCUUCGAUCAGUAGCUGGUCUGAGAGGACGACCAGCCACACUGGGACUGAGACACGGCCCAGACUCCUACGGGAGGCAGCAGUGGGGAAUUUUGGACAAUGGGGGCAACCCUGAUCCAGCCAUGCCGCGUGAGUGAGGAAGGCCUUCGGGUUGUAAAGCUCUUUCAGCCGGAACGAAACGGUUACGGUUAAUACCCGUGACUACUGACGGUACCGGAAGAAGAAGCACCGGCUAACUACGUGCCAGCAGCCGCGGUAAUACGUAGGGUGCAAGCGUUAAUCGGAAUUACUGGGCGUAAAGCGUGCGCAGGUGGUUUUGUAAGUCAGAUGUGAAAUCCCCGGGCUUAACCUGGGAACUGCGUUUGAAACUACAAGGCUAG
rnacentral:rRNA from 1 species